rnacentral:lncRNA from 1 species
GUUGAUACGACGGAUUACGAUCCCAAAGAAGAAGACCAGAUUCAUUUCCAUAAUCAUUACUAUUUCUCUUAACACCAACAUCAAACUCAGACGAAAAAUUAAGCAAAGAAGUAAACGGAGUUUGCUGAAGCAACAACAAAUCAUCAACAUCAUUACAACAAUCAUUGAAUCUCAAUUCAUUUUGAUCUUCCUCCAAAUUCCUCUUCCUCUUCGCAACUUCCACCACCUGUUCAUACACCUCAUCCCUAUUCUUCACAACCGGAACCACUGGACCUUCAAAUUCCGCUACGAAAACCGCGUCGUUCGGCUUCAAAUCAAGUCCCAAGGUAGAAACGAUCUCGUGAACGGAUGGACAACCGGUGAGACCUUCAAUACGGCGGCGGUUGUGGUGGUGGAAGGAUGAAGAGGUGGAGUCGUCGUCGUCGCCGCCGUGAGAGUUCCAAUCGCAGCGGUGACAUUGAACUAGGUUUUCGGUGAAGCAACGAACUGAAGCGGCGUCGUUUUUGCAGUUUUGACAGAUUUGGAAACGCACGUGCUUGAGUGCGAGUGCGUUUGCGGAGUGCACGUGCUGGUCGCAAACUAAACAGAGUUUCGCGGAGUCUGGUUUGCAAUAUAGCACCGCGCUUCUUGUGUCGCAAUAGUCACACGGAAACGACAUCGUUUUAGGAGGAUACUUUGGUUGUAAGAAAGAAGAAUGAAGAAUUUAAUUUAGUAUAGUGUAGUGAAGUUAGUAGAUUUAUUUAUUUAUGUGUGUAUGAAGAUGCAUAAGCAUAGGCAUGGCACAUGAUAAGCAUGAGGAAAGUGAGUAAUGUAAUGUAGGUCGGAAGGAAGGUAGGACUAGUGUGUAGUGGGGACAAGGGUGAAAGAUAUUUUGGUCACUUUUUGGAUAUGAUUUGAUGAAGUGGAGUAGACAGUAGUAGUGAAUCUUUGAUUGCAUGUGCGUUUUCUUACUAUUGCUACUUGCUUCAUGUACAGAAGAGAUUCAGUGUUGUCUGUGUGGUUUUGUUUUGUUUGUUGGAUUGAGUGGCAGUGUGACAGUUUUUGGGACUUUGGGCUUUUUGGAGGGAGUUGGUGCUUUGAUAAUUGUUGUUCCCAUUUUGGAGAUUGUUAAAAAACUUACCUGACAAUAGUUAAUUGCCGAUAUUUCUUAUUCCGCGAGAGUUAAUUGUUGAAGUGGUGUUUUUUAAAGCGUAGAUCUAACGGCAGUUAAUUAUUGAUAAAGGUAAAUAUGUCAUUUUCUGGUGUUUCAUAGCAAAGAUUAAAGUGGAACAACAAGUUUCUGGUGCUUUUUGGUGUUUGGGAUGCCCGAAACUGUUUGGACACGUGGUCGUAGUUAGAGCAUAUGUUCUAUGCUAUGUUAUUGAGGCCAUAAGAACUUGUUUCUAUGUUCUAUCCCAUAUUUUCAUUGGAGUGGAAUGACAUGGAUGUCAAGUUGGAGAACGGUUCUCCCUGAAGAACAUUUCAGAACACUGAUUUGAGGGACCCAAUUAGAAUAAAUUAAGAACAAACCUUGUAGUUUUGCAUUAGAGUAAAAUUACAUGGUUGUUCUUGAAUCCUCAUAUGACAAUGGUGGACCCACCAAAAUGCUUGAAGAACAUAAAUUUUGUUCUGAUAUUGUAGAUGUUCUUAGACGAAUAAGC